rnacentral:rRNA from 1 species
UGCCAGCCGCCGCGGUAAUACGGAGACUGCAAGCGUUACUCGGAUUCACUGGGCGUAAAGGAUGCGUAGGUUGUUUUGUGUGUCAGGUGUGAAAUCUCGGAGCUUAACUCCGAAACUGCGCCUGAAACUACAGAACUAGAGUAUCGGAGAGGUAAGCGGAAUUCCUAGUGUAGCAGUGAAAUGCGUAGAUAUUAGGAGGAACACCAAUGGCGAAGGCAGCUUACUGGACGAUAACUGACACUGAGGCAUGAAAGCGUGGGUAGCGAAAGGGAUUAGAUA